CUGCCCCUGUCAGGGGGACAACCCGCCGAAAGGCGGGCUAAACCCGCGUACAUGCCACCGGGGCAUCCCGGAGGCAGGAAAGGCUUCGGCCGGACAGGGAUGGGCAUGCGGCGCAUUAGGCAGUAGGCGGGGUAACGGCCCACCUAACCGACGAUGCGUAGGGGUUCUGAGAGGAAGGUCCCCCACACUGGUACUGAGACACGGACCAGACUCCUACGGGAGGCAGCAGUGAGGAAUAUUGGUCAAUGGUCGGGAGACUGAACCAGCCAAGCCGCGUGAGGGAUGAAGGUACAGAGUAUCGUAAACCUCUUUUGUCAGGGAGCAAAGGCGGGGACGUGUCCCCGGAUGAGUGUACCUGAAGAAAAAGCAUCGGCUAACUCCGUGCCAGCAGCCGCGGUAAUACGGAGGAUGCGAGCGUUAUCCGGAUUUAUUGGGCUUAAAGGGUGCGCAGGCGGUCUGUUAAGUCAGCGGUCAAAGCCCGGGGCUCAACCCCGGCCCGCCGUUGAAACUGGCAGUCUCGAGUUGGAGAGAAGUAUGCGGAAUGCGCGGUGUAGCGGUGAAAUGCAUAGAUAUCGCGCAGAACUCCGAUUGCGAAGGCAGCAUGCCGGCUCCACACUGACGCUGAGGCACGAAAGCGUGGGUAUCGAACAGGAUUAGAUACCCUGGUAGUCCACGCAGUAAAC
rnacentral:rRNA from 1 species